AAAAAAUCCCAAAAAGAAACAGCUGAAAGCUGGAAGGAAAACACUAUUUCAUUUAACUUUCUUCUGAAUUUUGAAGUCUUCUUUCAUCAUUAGAACAAUUUCUAAGGCCCUUUGAGGUGAAAAUGGUCUUCUGGGUUGAUUAUUUGGUGGAUUUACAGUUCCAUUAAAUUUUCUUUGGUAAUUUUAAGUUUGCAAUUUUGAAUCAAAUCUCUGGCUUAUUUGGGGUUGAAAAUGGCUUAAGUAUUCAUGUGAUUUUAGCAUCUGAGGUUUUCUCAAAGCUACUAGGAUUAUUUUGAGUUUAACUUGGUUCAUUAAAAGUUUGGUUUGAGUGUACUGCUGUGCUCACCCAUUUUUUCUUUUGUAAUCUCUAGGUACACCUUCAAAACUUGUC
rnacentral:lncRNA from 1 species